AGUGAACGCUGGCGGUAGGCCUAACACAUGCAAGUCGAACGGCAGCACAGUAAGAGCUUGCUCUUACGGGUGGCGAGUGGCGGACGGGCGCGGAAUACAUCGGAAUCUACUUUUUCGUGGGGGAUAACGUAGGGAAACUUACGCUAAUACCGCAUACGACCUAUGGGUGAAAGCAGGGGUUGUUCGGACCUUGCGCGAUUGAAUGAGCCGAUGUCGGAUUAGUUAGUUGGCGGGGUAAAGGGCCACCAAGGCGGCGAUGCGUAGCUGGUCUGAGAGGAUGAUCAGCCACAUUGGAACUGAGACACAGCCGAGACUCCGACAGGGAGCAGCAGUGGGGAAUAUUGGACAAUGGGCGCAAGCCUGAUCCAGCCAUACCGCGUGGGUGAAGAAGGCCUUCGGGUGGGAAAGCCCUUUUGUUGGGAAAGAAAUACAGCAGGUUUAUACCCCGCUGUUCUGACGGUACCCAAAGAAUAAGCUCCGGCUAACUUCGUG
rnacentral:rRNA from 1 species